rnacentral:rRNA from 1 species
AUACGGAGGAUCCUAGUGUUAUCCGGAUUUAUUGGGUUUAAAGGGAGCGUAGGCGGGAGGUCAAGUCAGCUGUGAAAUGUAUCUGCUUAACGGGUACACUGCAGUUGAAACUGGUUUUCUUGAGUGCGUAAGAGGCAGGCGGAAUUCGUUGUGUAGCGGUGAAAUGCUUAGAUAUGACGAGGAACUCCUAUUGCGAAGGCAGCUUGCUGGGUCGUUACUGACGCUGAUGCUCGAAGGUGCGGGGAUCAAACAGGAUUAGAUACCCUGGUAGUCCGCACAGUAAACUAUGGAUACUCUCUACCGGCGAUAUAUUGUCGGUGGCCAAGCGAAAGCGUUAAGUAUCCCACCUGGGGAGUACGUUCGCAAGAAUGAAACUCAAAGGAAUUGGCGGGG